AGAGUUUGAUCCUGGCUCAGGAUGAACGCUAGCUACAGGCUUAACACAUGCAAGUCGAGGGGCAGCAUGGAGUCAGCUUGCUGACUCUGAUGGCGACCGGCGCACGGGUGAGUAACGCGUAUCCAACCUUCCCUAUAGUAGGGGAUAGCCCGGCGAAAGUCGGAUUAAUACCCUAUGUUUUCCGAUGCAGGCAUCUAAAAGGGAACAAAGGCUUGCCGCUAUAGGAUGGGGAUGCGUCUGAUUAGCUUGAUGGCGGGGUAACGGCCCACCAUGGCAUCGAUCAGUAGGGGUUCUGAGAGGAAGGUCCCCCACAUUGGAACUGAGACACGGUCCAAACUCCUACGGGAGGCAGCAGUGAGGAAUAUUGGUCAAUGGCCGCGAGGCUGAACCAGCCAAGUAGCGUGCAGGAUGACGGCCCUAUGGGUUGUAAACUGCUUUUAUGCGGGGAUAAAGUGACGUACGUGUGCGUUUUUGCAGGUACCGCAUGAAUAAGGACCGGCUAAUUCCGUGCCAGCAGCCGCGGUAAUACGGAAGGUCCGGGCGUUAUCCGGAUUUAUUGGGUUUAAAGGGAGCGCAGGCGGCCUUUUAAGCGUGACGUGAAAUGUAGGCGCUCAACGUCUGAAUUGCGUCGCGAACUGUUAGGCUUGAGUAGACGGAAUGUCGGCGGAAUUCGUGGUGUAGCGGUGAAAUGCUUAGAUAUCACGAAGAACUCCGAUUGCGAAGGCAGCUGACAGCAGUUUUACUGACGCUCAUGCUCGAAAGUGCGGGUAUCGAACAGGAUUAGAUACCCUGGUAGUCCGCACGGUAAAC
rnacentral:rRNA from 1 species